rnacentral:rRNA from 1 species
AUGGUCAAGUGACGAAGCGUACACGGUGGAUGCCUUGGCAGCCAGAGGCGAUGAAGGACGUUGUAGCCUGCGAUAAGCUUCGGGGAGUCGGCAAACAGACUUUGAUCCGGAGAUUUCCGAAUGGGGAAACCCACCCUUUAUGGGUAUCCUGCACUGAAUCCAUAGGUGUAGGAGGCGAACGCGGGGAACUGAAACAUCUAAGUACCCGUAGGAACAGAAAUCAAUUGAGAUUCCGUCAGUAGCGGCGAGCGAACGCGGAUUAGCCCUUAAGCAUGUGACUGAUUAGGAGAACGGUCUGGGAAGGCCGACCAUAGUGGGUGAUAGUCCCGUAUCCGAAAAUCUGAAUGUGUGAAAACGAGUAGGUCGGGGCACGUGAAACCUUGACUGAACAUGGGGGGACCAUCCUCCAAGGCUAAAUACUCCUGGCUGACCGAUAGUGAACCAGUACCGUGAGGGAAAGGCGAAAAGAACCCCGGAGAGGGGAGUGAAAUAGACCCUGAAACCGUGUACGUACAAGCAGUCGGAGCCCGCGUUGUUGGGUGACGGCGUACCUUUUGUAUAAUGGGUCAGCGACUUAUUCUCAGUAGCGAGGUUAACCAAUUAGGGGAGCCGUAGGGAAACCGAGUCUGAAUAGGGCGAUUGAGUUGCUGGGAAUAGACCCGAAACCGAGCGAUCUACCCAUGGGCAGGUUGAAGGUGCGGUAACACGCACUGGAGGACCGAACCGGGAUCUGUUGAAAAAGAUUCGGAUGACCUGUGGGUCGGAGUGAAAGGCUAAUCAAGCUCGGAGAU